GUGAGUCAUCGAAUCUUUGAACGCACAUUGCGCCCCUUGGUAUUCCGAGGGGCAUGCCCGUUCGAGCGUCAUUAUAACCCUUCAAGCCUAGCUUGGUGUUGGGGCCUGCUGUUACCGGCAGCCCUUAAAAUCAGUGGCGGUACCAUCUGGUUCUAAGCGUAGUAAUCCUUCUCGCUAUAGAGUCCCGGUGGAUGCUUGCCAUCAACCCCUAAUUUUCUAUGGUUGACCUCGGAUCGGGUAGGGAUACCCGCUGAACUUAAGCAUAUCAAUAAGCGGAGGA
rnacentral:misc_RNA from 1 species